rnacentral:rRNA from 1 species
CAAGUUAACGCAGCGCCUAUGUGCUGCGUGGCGUAAAGCUCAGUAACGCGUAGAUAAUCUACCCUACGGUGGUGGAUAACCUCGGCAAACUGAGGCUAAACCACCAUAGCCGCCCUAUGUUGGAAUACUUGGGCGGUCAAAGGAGUGCAAACAUGGUUGCACACGUCGUAGGACGAGUCUGCGUCGGAUUAGGUCGUAGGUGGGGUAAAGGCCCACCCAGCCGAGGAUCCGUACGGGUCGUUAGCGCGAUAGCCCGGAGUUGGACUCUGAGACAAUAGUCCAGGGGCUAUGGCUUGCAGCAGGCGAGAAAACUGUCCAAUGCACGAAAGUGUGAGACGGUGAUCCCCAGUGCUAGGAGCAAUUCUAGCUUUUGUCAAGUGU